rnacentral:rRNA from 1 species
GAGUUUGAUCGUGGCUCAGAGUGAACGCUGGCGGUAGGCCUAACACAUGCAAGUCGAACGGUAACAGGUCUUUCGGGAUGCUGACGAGUGGCGGACGGGUGAGGAAUACAUCGGAAUCUGCUCAGUCGUGGGGGAUAACGCAUAGAAACGUGCGCUAAUACCGCAUACGACCUUCGGGUGAAAGCAGGGGAAUCUUUAGGGAUCCUUGCGCGAUUGAAUGAGCCGAUGUCGGAUUAGCUAGUUGGUAGGGUAAAAGCCUACCAAGGCGACGAUCCGUAGCUGGUCUGAGAGGAUGAUCAGCCACACUGGGACUGAGACACGGCCCAGACUCCUGCGGGAGGCAGCAGUGGGGAAUAUUGGACAAUGGGGGCAACCCUGAUCCAGCCAUACCGCGUGGGUGAAGAAGGCCUUCUGGGUUGUAAAGCCCUUUUGUUGGGGAAGAAAAACAACGGGUUAAUACCCCGUUGGUAUGACGGUACCCAAAGAAUAAGCACCGGCUAACUUCGUGCCAGCAGCCGCGGUAAUACGAAGGGUGCAAGCGUUACUCGGAAUUACUGGGCGUAAAGGGUGCGUAGGUGGUUGCGCCAGUCUGUCGUGAAAGCCCUGGGCUUAACCUGGGAAUGGCGAUGGAAACUGUGCAACUAGAGUGUGACAGAGGGUGGUGGAAUUCCUGGUGUAGCAGUGAAAUGCGUAGAGAUCAGGAGGAACAUUCGUGGCGAAGGCGGCCACCUGGGUCAACACUGACACUGAGGCACGAAAGCGUGGGGAGCAAACAGGAUUAGAUACCCUGGUAGUCCACGCCCUAAACGAUGCGAACUGGAUGUUGGGUCCAACUUGGGAUUCAGUAUCGAAGCUAACGCGUUAAGUUCGCCGCCUGGGGAGUACGGUCGCAAGACUGAAACUCAAAGGAAUUGACGGGGGCCCGCACAAGCGGUGGAGUAUGUGGUUUAAUUCGAUGCAACGCGCAGAACCUUACCUGGCCUUGACAUGCACGGAACCUUUG